rnacentral:rRNA from 1 species
AUGUCCUACGGGGCGCAGCAGUGAGGAAUAUUGGUCAAUGGGCGGAAGCCUGAACCAGCCAAGUCGCGUGAGGGAAUAAGGCCCUACGGGUCGUAAACCUCUUUUGCCGGGGAGCAAGGGCCGGGACGCGUCCCGGCCCGGAGAGUACCCGGAGAAAAAGCAUCGGCUAACUCCGUGCCAGCAGCCGCGGUAAUACGGAGGAUGCGAGCGUUAUCCGGAUUUAUUGGGUUUAAAGGGUGCGUAGGCGGGCUUUUAAGGCAGCGGGAAAAAUUCGGGGCGCAACCCCGUCC